UACGGAGGGAGCUAGCGUUGUUCGGAAUUACUGGGCGUAAAGCGCGCGUAGGCGGCUUUGUAAGUUAGAGGUGAAAGCCCGGAGCUCAACUCCGGGACUGCCUUUAAAACUGCAUCGCUUGAAUCCAGGAGAGGUGAGUGGAAUUCCGAGUGUAGAGGUGAAAUUCGUAGAUAUUCGGAAGAACACCAGUGGCGAAGGCGGCUCACUGGCCCGAUACUGACGCUGAGACGGCGAAAAGCGU
rnacentral:rRNA from 1 species